GAACUUUCCAGAGAUGGAUUGGUGCCUUCGGGAACUGUGAGACAGGUGCUGCAUGGCUGUCGUCAGCUCGUGUUGUGAAAUGUUGGGUUAAGUCCCGCAACGAGCGCAACCCUUAUCCUUUGUUGCCAGCGGUCAGGCCGGGAACUCAAAGGAGACUGCCAGUGAUAAACUGGAGGAAGGUGGGGAUGACGUCAAGUCAUCAUGGCCCUUACGACCAGGGCUACACACGUGCUACAAUGGCGCAUACAAAGAGAAGCGACCUCGCGAGAGCAAGCGGACCUCAUAAAGUGCGUCGUAGUCCGGAUUGGAGUCUGCAACUCGACUCCAUGAAGUCGGAAUCGCUAGUAAUCGUGGAUCAGAAUGCCACGGUGAAUACGUUCCCGGGCCUUGUACACACCGCCCGUCACACCAUGGGAGUGGGUUGCAAAAGAAGUAGGUAGCUUAACCUUCGGGAGGGCGCUUACCACUUUGUGAUUCAUGACUGGGGUGAAGUCGUAACAAGGUAACCGUAGGGGAACCUGCGGUUGGA
rnacentral:rRNA from 1 species